GGGCACUCUGCCCUGGAGGGCCAGAGCCACUGGCAUCUCUGUGGUCUGCACUGAACCCACAGGUGAGCUCAGCCGAAGGGUGGCAGGAAUGGCCUUUGUCCUCCAGUCCCAGCACCUGCCCGAGUCCAGACAAGACCUGCUUCCUGGUCCACAGCCUUUGCAGCUGAACUCAAGAACCUGGCCUAGUCCUGCUCCACAUGUGACUCCAUCCUGAACCAGUGUGCAGGGUCAAGCACUCUGCUCUGCCCUGGCAGGGGCAGGCAUACACCCAUGCCCUCACCCUUCCUCGGCAGGGUGAGGAACGGGCAAAAGCAGGAAGUGGGCACUGCAGGGACAGCUGGGGCAGGUCCCAAAGCCACUCUGGGCCGCCUGGACCUGUAGUGUUUGCAGAUGGUGUGGAACAGGUGACCUUCCCCUUUGUGUGCCAGUGAGAGGGGGGUGUCAAGGGCUCCAGACUCAGAUCUGUUAACUGUGAAAGCUUUCUACCCGGUCUGCAGAAUGAACCGGCAGCCCUUCUGGGCAUCCUAAUGGAUGGUGCCCCAGCCACAGAGAUGCUUGGGAGCACUGGCCCUUUCCACGCCUGCGUGUGGAUCUGCUGCAUGGGCACGCUGAGUGGGAAAGCAGGUGUCCAGGCUGCCUGACGUUCACUCUGGGGUCAGACGAAGCCAGCUGAGGGCCCUGGGUGAGGACAUGACAGUGACACUGGCUCUGGAGGAGGCCCAGGACACUGGCAGCCUGCCACCCUCAGCAGUGUACAGAGGAGCAGUGUUCCGACCAGGCGUCAGGAUGGAGGCAGCGUGGCUGGAGGUGAGUCUUGGGAUGAGGUCAUGAAG
rnacentral:lncRNA from 1 species